rnacentral:rRNA from 1 species
UACGAAGGAUCCAAGCGUUGUCCGGAUUUACUGGGUUUAAAGGGUGCGUAGGCGGGGAAUUAAGUCAGUGGUGAAAGCUGGUAGCUCAACUAUCAAAUUGCCAUUGAAACUGAUUCUCUCGAGUACGGUUGAGGUAGCUGGAAUGUAACAUGUAGCGGUGAAAUGCUUAGAUAUGUUACAGAACACCGAUUGCGAAGGCAGGCUACUAAACCGUAACUGACGCUGAGGCACGAAAGCGUGGGGAUCAAACAGGAUUAGAUACCCUGGUAGUCCACGCUGUAAACGUUGCAUACUCGGUCUUAGCGAUAUACAGUUAGGACCUAAGCGAAAGCAUUAAGUAUGCCACCUGGGGAGUACGGUCGCAAGAUUG